rnacentral:rRNA from 1 species
CCCUUAGAUGUUCUGGGCCGCACGCGCGCUACACUGACGAUGGCAACGAGUUUUUCCUUCGCCGAAAGGUGUGGGUAAUAUUUUGAAACAUCGUCGUGCUGGGGAUAGAUCAUUGCAAUUUUUGAUCUUGAACGAGGAAUUCCUAGUAAGCGCGAGUCAUCAGCUCGCGUUGAUUACGUCCCUGCCCUUUGUACACACCGCCCGUCGCUACUACCGAUUGAAUGGUUUAGUGAGGACUCCUGAUUGGCGCCGCCGCCCCGGCAACGGAGCAGCGGACUGCCGAAAAGUUGUUCAAACUUGAUCAUUUAGAGGAAGUAAAAGUCGUAACA